UCCGUGUUAACCACGGCAGUCUCCCUAGAGAGCCCAACUUAAUGCUGGCAACUAAGGACAAGGGUUGCGCUCGUUGCGGGACUUAACCCAACAGGUCACCCCACGAGCUGACGACAGCCAUGCAGCACCUGUCUUGUUGUUGGAUUUCUCCAAAAGCCGUAUCUCUACGGAUGUCAACAGAUGUCAAACCCAGGUAAGGUUUUUCGCGUUGCUUCGAAUUAAACCACAUGAUCCACCGCUUGUGCGGGCCCCCGUCAAUUCCUUUGAGUUUUAGUCUUGCGACCGUACUUCCCAGGCGGGAUACUUAUUGCGUUAGCUCCGGUUCGGCGGGGGUCAAGACCCACCAAACCUAGUAUCCAUCGUUUACAGCGUGGACUAC
rnacentral:misc_RNA from 1 species